UGGGGAAUAUUGGACAAUGGGCGCAAGCCUGAUCCAGCCAUGCCGCGUGAGUGAUGAAGGCCUUAGGGUUGUAAAGCUCUUUUGUCAGGGAAGAUAAUGACGGUACCUGAAGAAUAAGCACCGGCUAACUUCGUGCCAGCAGCCGCGGUAAUACGAAGGGUGCUAGCGUUGUUCGGAAUUACUGGGCGUAAAGCGCGCGUAGGCGGCUAAUCAAGUCAGAGGUGAAAUCCCUGGGCUCAACCCAGGAAUUGCCUUUGAAACUGUUUAGCUUGAGUGUCGGAGGGGAUAGCGGAAUUGCUAAUGUAGAGGUGAAAUUCGUAGAUAUUAGCAGGAACACCGGUGGCGAAGGCGGCUAUCUGGACGACAACUGACGCUGAGGCGCGAAAGCGUGGGGAUCAAACAGGAUUAGAUACCCCUGUAGUCC
rnacentral:rRNA from 1 species